AGCGGUCCGUCCUAAUCGCCG
rnacentral:snRNA from 1 species